UGUCGUGAGAUGUUCGGUUAAGUCCGCUAACGAGCGCAACCCUCGCUGUGUGUUACAAGUGUCACACGGAACUGCCGGUCAUAAACCGGAGGAAGGUGGGGAUGACGUCAAGUCAGCAUGGCCUUUAUAUCCUGGGCUACACACACGCUACAAUGGGAAGGGACAAUAGGUUGCGAAGCCGCGAGGCGGAGCCAAUCCAGCAAAACUUCCCUCAGUUCAGAUUGCAGGCUGCAACUCGCCUGCAUGAAGUUGGAGUUGCUAGUAAACGCAGGUCAGCCAUACUGCGUUGAAUACGUUCCCGGGGCUU
rnacentral:rRNA from 1 species